GGCCAGAUAAAAGAAUUAGUGGCAGGGCUGGGAACAGCUCUGCGAAAGUACGCUGGAGAAUUGGAAUGCCCGGCUUUGUCUCUCGCAGCUCAUCCCGCCAGACGGAGCUUGUCGCUCGUCGUCCAGUAUGCAUCUAUAUUCAACCUCCAGCUUCUCUGUCAAAGAUUUGCAAUUCCGCAACAAAUUGAAAAUCUCAGGAUUCCAAAGGAUGGAGCCAUGGCAGGAGGAGGCGAUGAUUUACGGUAUCAAAAAUUGCUGACAGGUCUACAGAGAUACUUGCAGGAACACCUCAGCAAGCAAGAGUCCAAAAGUGGCAGGUUAAAUCCCAGAACCUCAAUCAGUGGCUGAUACCAGAUUAGAAACGCCUUCCUAGGUACACAGAAGACUGGACAACUUGGAAGGUGUUAAACAGACUGUGCUCUGGCACCACGAGAUGCAGAGCCAACCUUAAGAAAUGGGGCUACAAAGUGGAGUCCACGACAUGCGAGAGCGGAGAAGAGCAAACCACAGAUCACUUACUACAAAGCAGCCCGAGCCUUGCCACAUGCACAAUGGAGAACUUUCUUACAGCGACACCAAAGGCACUCCAAGUGGUCAGCUUCUGGUCAAAGGAAAUUUAGUAUAAUGCCAAGUUCUAACUUUGUGGUUUUUCUAUACAUUAUAUCUGUAUUCUCAAUUCACUUCUGACACGAUAAAUAAAUAAAAACCCAAUGGGUUUCCAUGGCUGAGUGAUGGCUCAAAUCUUGGUCUCCAAAGUGGUAGUUCAACAGCCAAGGCAUCACACUGGCUUUCACCAGUGUGAAUAGAUAUACAACAGUUAGAACAUUAUGUACCUGAUUAUAAGAGUUGGGCUAUGGCCAACCAUCUGAGAUGAGAUUUUAAACAAAUCUCCAACAGAAUGUACAUAUCUCCUACAACGCACUCUACAUCAUUUCAUCUAAUAUAUGAGCCAUUUUUGGCACCACUUAAGGGAAUUUUGUGUGCAUGUUCCCCGCCGAUGUGUCUGUGAAUGCAUUUCGGUCUGCAUUCUCCAAGCUGCCCUGCACAAUCGGAAGAAGUGCAAAUACUGACGGGUAAUUGCAUUUCGGUUCACUUGUGGGUUUUGGAGGUGCAAAUGAACUCAAAUGAGAAUGGAUUUUUCCCCCAUCCAUGAUCUCUACCCCUCAAUAGGCACGCAUACAAAUGGACUGCAACAGAAAGGACAGCUUUCCUCAACCCGGUGCUGCCAGAUGUUUGGGAUCUCUGUUCCCAAAAGUCUGAACUGACCAAAGAGACAAUUCUUUAGAGUCUCCAUCAAGUCUUUCAUGGGAUGACACAAGGAAUAGAAUUGUGCAGUUUUGACGCAAACAAUGAUGGAUCUGGACCAAACUUGGCAUGCAUUCCCAAUAUGCACAAAUUUGAAUAAUGGUGGGUUUUGGAUAAUAAGGAGGGAUUAAGAAAAAGCCUUUUAAACAUCAAAUUACGUUAUGAAUUUCCAAAUUAAGCACCAAAACAUCAUGUUAUACAACAAAUUUGACAGAAAAAGUAGUUCAAUACGCAGUAAUGCUAUGUAGUAAUUACUGUAUUUAUGAAUUUAGCAGCAAAAUAUCAUGAUGUAUUGAAAACAUUGACUACAAAAAUGCGUUGGAUAAUCCAGAACGUUGGAUAAGCAAGUGUUGGAUAAGUGAGACUCUACUGUAUUGAUAAUAAUAAUAAUAGAGUAAAAUAAAUGUAAUAGAAGCAACAAUAAUAGAGAAAAAUAAUAAAUGUAUUACAUGGACUUUACAUGACCUGUACGAAGACUUGAGGAUUCUGGAUGAAUGGAUUUUAAUCUUGGACAUUCUUAAAAUGUUAUAUAAUCUGAUUUUAUUUUGUAAUGGUAUCUGUUUUAUAUGAACUGUUGUUUUGUAGAUUGUUUUAUAUGAAUUGUUGUUUUUACAUUGUUUUUAGGCAUUAAAUUUUUGCCUAUUUACUGUAAGCCGCUUUGAGUCUCCUCGGAGAGAAAGGCGGGGUAAAAGUAAUGUAAAUAAAUAAAUAAAUAAAAUUAAUAAUAAUAAAAAUAGAGUAAAAUAAAUGUAAUAGUAGCAACAAUAAUAGAGAAAAAUAAUAAAUGUAAUAAUACCAAUAAUAAUAGAAAAAAUAAUAAAUGUACCAUAAAUAAAUGUUAGCUCCAGCUCCUGCCAACUUAGCAGUUCGAAAACAUGCCAAUGUGAGUAGAUCAAUAGGUACCGCUCCGGCGGGAAGAUAACAGCGCUCAAUGCAGUCAUGCCGGCCACAUGACCUUGGAGGUGUCUACGGACAACGUCGGCUCUUUGGCUUAGAAAUGGAGAUGAGCACCAACCCCCAGAGUCAGACAUGACUGGACUUUGUGUCAGGGGAAACCUUUAUCUUUACCUUUUAUGUUCUCGAGUAUAAGCUGACCCAAAUAUAAGCCACCCAGAACCCUCACCCAAAUAUAAGCCGAGGGGAGCUUUUUCAGUCUUAAAAAAAAGGGCUGAAAAACUAGGCUUAUUCUCGAGUAUAUACAGUAAGUUCCCUUAUGACUAUGUAAGCAGGCCAUACGUGUAGCCUUUUGAGAAUUGUGGGGGUUUGAACACAGUUUCCAGGGACCAUGUAUGGACACAGGUCUUUUAAACAUAUUCCCAUUCAGAAAUGACAUGACGCCUGCAUUUCUUUUCUUUAUGAAAGCCC
rnacentral:lncRNA from 11 species